UUCUGUGCGCUAGGGUUUGCACAUCCUUCGGCUCCUCCUGUAGCAGCAUCUCACCCCGCGGUCGCCGUGGCGGCGAUGGAUCUUGCGGUGGACGGGAGGUGCGCGCUGCUGCUCGGGAGCGAGGUGGCUCUAGAAGUAUAGAUAAUCUUGUUUAAAAUAUCUUGGUACGUGUUUUCAAGUGUUCUUAUCUGUAUCUUGAAUGAUGUAUUUUAUCUCCUAAUGCUUAUUUCUUCCAUUUACUUGUGCAUUUUUGUCACCCCUCAGUUUUUAGUCGACAAGCAACUCGUUUCUUUGUGUUUGAUGCAUCCUGGGAGAUUAAGACUGCAACUAGGAGCUUCUGGUUGACUAUUAAGACAAGAUAUUUUUGACUGCAUCAACAAGUGGUAGAGCUAUGAUUUAUCAAAAAGGAAACAAUUCAGAAGAAAUUAAUCUUUUGUUAUAAGAUAUCAGUAGUAUUGUUUAUGCUGUGAGAAAAAACAAUAACAAAACCGUAAGUCCUAAUAUUUGAGAUCGACUACUACAUAUAACCGUAAGGUCAUAUGUUUAGUUAAUUUAAGAGUAUUUAAAUUUUUAUUUAUAGUAUCUACUGUUAAAGUAUUUUUCAUUUUUUUUAUCUCCCAUGUCACUAAAAUUAAUCAUUUCAUCUCUUCUCUUAGGUUUGUUGAGCACAUGUCCAUACCCUCUUGAACGAUUCUAUUUAAUUUUAUCUUCUAUCAAAGUAAUAUCUAAUUGUUGAUGAAUAAAAAUAUUUUUUUUCUAAUCAUUCUUGGUAACUGCACACAUAGGGGUGAAAAAUCAAAGAGCAAGAUCCAAGAGACUAUAACAGAGACUAAUUGGGAUCUCUUGCAACCAAAAUUUGGUACUGGUCAUCCUUAAAAUUAAACAGAAGAAGUGGAUUUUAUAUAAAUGUAAUAUAUGAUAUGCAACAUUUUUUUUUGUUGAUGGUCAGCCUCAACAUCUUAUGAGAGAAGCUAACAAAUUUCUUCAAACUGUCAGUUGUUGUGAACUUAGUCAAAUACACUCAUAGAGCUCCGUUUGGAACUAAUACUAUGUUUUUGUCUUCAGCCAGAAACUAGCAUGGGCUAGGAAACAUUCUUAUCAUUUUCCAGCAAACAAAUGUGAGGGAACCAAGCUUAGAAUAUUAGUUUUACUAAAUUUUACAAAAAAAAUUAGAUGCUGGUUAAUAGUGUCUUGUGAUAGCUCUUGGGUUUUCCGAUGAGUGCAAUUCAGAUAUACAAUUUGAGUUUCUAAUAAUGUUUUUUUCUAAGCAUUCUAGGAAGGCCUUGCAUGUGCAGGCUUCGCACUGGCAUUCUGUGCAUGAUUCUCCUACAUUCUAGAUGCUGAUCAUUGCCAAUGGGGCCUAAGCCAUUUGACCAAUCACUAAUCACAGGACAGAUUAAUGUUAGAGAACUUCUGACUUGGGCCUGAAUGUUUUCACUCCUAAGUUUGUAUUCCCUCCUUUCUCCUAUUUGCUUUCUGCUUUUAUACAAAAAUCAUUGUGCAUAUGAUGGCUUUACACUUGAUCUCUGAGCUUUCAGGUAAGUAAUAUGCUGACCAGAACUCUCUGCUGAUGCACAAGUUUCUUUUUUUACCUUUUUCCCUUUUUGCUUGGUUUUUAUGAUAUUAGUGUCAAUCAAUGCAGUUUCAUUGUUAGAGUGUCGCUUAGCAGAGCUUUUUCAUUUUUCUCGGAUAUCCUCUUCUAGUAUGUUUCUGUGAUUUUUUAUUUAAAUUUAGUGCCAUCCUCGUUUGUGUUUCAAUUCUUUGAUUUAGGAAGGUUGUGAUUCUCAAAGACAAUUGGGCUUUUCUAUCUCAAGUUUGAUAGGGCAACAUGACCUUGAUGGAAUGCUUCUACAUGAGGGGUUAAAUUGUGCUCAAACAAGAUGGACAUUGGUGUCGGCAUGGUUGGGUCCGUCCCGAGUGUGCAAGAUCACCAGCACGGCCUCUGAGCUGGAGCACGUUAACCCGAGGUUUGGUUGAGUGGGGGUAGACCUUGUUCUCUUAGGUGGAGGCUGAAGGUCACUCAUUUAGUUGUCCGUUGGGUGCUUGCACACAGGUCAUAAUCGGGAGGGGGAUUUCCGACCCGACCCCUCCGCUGCUUAAGCUAGCAAGAGUUGGAGAUGAGAGAGUUGGAGUGUGUGUGUGUGUAUAUUUGAGGUUCGACCCCAAUGCUAUUCUUGGGGGUGGCUUUAAUACUUGUUGUCGUGUGUUGACGUGUGUUAAUGGUCAUCGACGUCUUCAUACACGUGUUUAAAGAUGUCGUCGCCAUGGGUGGUCAGCUUGUAUGUUGGGACACUGGUGCAAUCUGAUAUGUCUGGCCUUGCUUCAUUUCGUGUUGCUCUGGAGUAGCUCAAGACGGGGCUACGUUGCUUCGUACAGCCUCGAGCGGUGUUGGUGCAAUGUGAUGGCGACGCAGAUGACAAGCGACUGCCUCGUUCAGAUCAGGGGUGUUGAGUUGGCUCAGUGCGCCAUGUUGGCUUUGGAACGUCGUGCUUGUGGAGUUGAUGCUAGAAUAUGCUAUAAUCACAUUGUAUUAGAUUUAACUAUUUAUGAGCGUAAUUUAUGUGUUUGGUUGUAUGGAAGAUUUGCGGAUAACUCUUUCUU